rnacentral:rRNA from 1 species
AAUAGAACCUGAAACCGUGUGCUUACAAGUAGUCAGAGCCCGUUAAUGGGUGAUGGCGUGCCUUUUGUAGAAUGAACCGGCGAGUUACGAUUUGAUGCAAGGUUAAGCAGUAAAUGUGGAGCCGUAGCGAAAGCGAGUCUGAAUAGGGCGUUUAGUAUUUGGUCGUAGACCCGAAACCAGGUGAUCUACCCUUGGUCAGGUUGAAGUUCAGGUAACACUGAAUGGAGGACCGAACCGACUUACGUUGAAAAGUGAGCGGAUGAACUGAGGGUAGCGGAGAAAUUCCAAUCGAACCUGGAGAUAGCUGGUUCUCUCCGAAAUAGCUUUAGGGCUAGCCUCAAGUGAUGAUUAUUGGAGGUAGAGCACUGUUUGGACGAGGGGCCCCUCUCGGGUUACCGAAUUCAGACAAACUCCGAAUGCCAAUUAAUUUAACUUGGGAGUCAGAACAUGGGUGAUAAGGUCCGUGUUCGAAAGGGAAACAGCCCAGACCACCAGCUAAGGUCCCAAAAUAUAUGUUAAGUGGAAAAGGAUGUGGCGUUGCCCAGACAACUAGGAUGUUGGCUUAGAAGCAGCCAUCAUUUAAAGAGUGCGUAAUAGCUCACUAGUCGAGUGACACUGCGCCGAAAAUGUACCGGGGCUAAACAUAUUACCGAAGCUGUGGAUUGUCCUUUGGACAAUGGUAGGAGAGCGUUCUAAGGGCGUUGAAGCAUGAUCGUAAGGACAUGUGGAGCGCUUAGAAGUGAGAAUGCCGGUGUGAGUAGCGAAAGACGGGUGAGAAUCCCGUCCACCGAUUGACUAAGGUUUCCAGAGGAAGGCUCGUCCGCUCUGGGUUAGUCGGGUCCUAAGCUGAGGCCGACAGGCGUAGGCGAUGGAUAACAGGUUGAUAUUCCUGUACCACCUAUAAUCGUUUUAAUCGAUGGGGGGACGCAGUAGGAUAGGCGAAGCGUGCGAUUGGAUUGCACGUCUAAGCAGUAAGGCUGAGUAUUAGGCAAAUCCGGUACUCGUUAAGGCUGAGCUGUGAUGGGGAGAAGACAUUGAGUCUUCGAGUCGUUGAUUUCACACUGCCGAGAAAAGCCUCUAGAUAGAAAAUAGGUGCCCGUACCGCAAACCGACACAGGUAGUCAAGAUGAGAAUUCUAAGGUGAGCGAGCGAACUCUCGUUAAGGAACUCGGCAAAAUGACCCCGUAACUUCGGGAGAAGGGGUGCUCUUUAGGGUUAACGCCCAGAAGAGCCGCAGUGAAUAGGCCCAAGCGACUGUUUAUCAAAAACACAGGUCUCUGCUAAACCGUAAGGUGAUGUAUAGGGGCUGACGCCUGCCCGGUGCUGGAAGGUUAAGAGGAGUGGUUAGCUUCUGCGAAGCUACGAAUCGAAGCCCCAGUAAACGGCGGCCGUAACUAUAACGGUCCUAAGGUAGCGAAAUUCCUUGUCGGGUAAGUUCCGACCCGCACGAAAGGCGUAACGAUUUGGGCACUGUCUCAACGAGAGACUCGGUGAAAUCAUAGUACCUGUGAAGAUGCAGGUUACCCGCGACAGGACGGAAAGACCCCGUGGAGCUUUACUGUAGCCUGAUAUUGAAAUUCGGCACAGCUUGUACAGGAUAGGUAGGAGCCUUUGAAACGUGAGCGCUAGCUUACGUGGAGGCGCUGGUGGGAUACUACCCUAGCUGUGUUGGCUUUCUAACCCGCACCACUUAUCGUGGUGGGAGACAGUGUCAAGCGGGCAGUUUGACUGGGGCGGUCGCCUCCUAAAAGGUAACGGAGGCGCUCAAAGGUUCCCUCAGAAUGGUUGGAAAUCAUUCAUAGAGUGUAAAGGCAUAAGGGAGCUUGACUGCGAGACCUACAAGUCGAGCAGGGUCGAAAGACGGACUUAGUGAUCCGGUGGUUCCGCAUGGAAGGGCCAUCGCUCAACGGAUAAAAGCUACCCCGGGGAUAACAGGCUUAUCUCCCCCAAGAGUUCACAUCGACGGGGAGGUUUGGCACCUCGAUGUCGGCUCAUCGCAUCCUGGGGCUGUAGUCGGUCCCAAGGGUUGGGCUGUUCGCCCAUUAAAGCGGUACGCGAGCUGGGUUCAGAACGUCGUGAGACAGUUCGGUCCCUAUCCGUCGUGGGCGUAGGAAAUUUGAGAGGAGCUGUCCUUAGUACGAGAGGACCGGGAUGGACAUACCUCUGGUGUACCAGUUGUCGUGCCAACGGCAUAGCUGGGUAGCUAUGUGUGGACGGGAUAAGUGCUGAAAGCAUCUAAGCAUGAAGCCCCCCUCAAGAUGAGAUUUCCCAACUUCGGUUAUAAGAUCCCUCAAAGAUGAUGAGGUUAAUAGGUUCGAGGUGGAAGCAUGGUGACAUGUGGAGCUGACGAAUACUAAUCGAUCGAAGACUUAAUCAA